rnacentral:rRNA from 1 species
GGUAACUGCUUAACACCCUGAACACACCUGAUCUCGUCUGAUCUUGGAUACUAAGCAGGGUCGGGUCUGGUUAGUACUUGUAUGGGAGACCACCUGGGAUUACCAGGUGCUGUAAGCU